CGGAGGCAUAUCAGCGGCAGACGGGUGAGUAACACGUGGGUGACCUGCCCUCAAGUUGGGGAUAACGAGUGGAAACACUUGCUAAUACCCGAUAGCCUUGCGAGGUCGAAGUCGUAAGGAAAGCUACGGUGCUUGAGGAGGGGCUCGCGGCCCAUCAGCUAGUUGGUGCGGUAAUGGCGCACCAAGGCGAAGACGGGUAGGGGGUGUGAGAGCACGACCCCCCACAAUGGGACUGAGACACGGCCCAUACUCCUACGGGAGGCAGCAGCAGGGAAUAUUGCACAAUGGGCGGAAGCCUGAUGCAGCGACGCCGCGUGAGUGAGGAAGGCCUUCGGGUUGUAAAACUCUUUUCGGGGGGAUGAGAGCGGACGGUACCCCCGGAAUAAGCGUCGGCUAACUACGUGCCAGCAGCCGCGGUAAGACGUAGGACGCGAGCGUUAUCCGGAUUUACUGGGCGUAAAGCGUCUGUAGGCGGUCGUAUAAGUUGGGCGUGAAAGCUCCGGGCUUAACCCGGAGAGUGCGCACAAGACUGUAGGACUAGAGGACGGCAGAGGAGCGUGGAAUUCCCGGUGUAGCGGUAAAAUGCGCAGAUAUCGGGAGGAACACCAGUGGCGAAGGCGGCGCUCUGGGCCGUAACUGACGCUGAGAGACGACAGCUAGGGGAGCGAACAGGAUUAGAGACCCUGGUAGUCCUAGCCGUAAACGAUGGAUGCUAGGUGUGGGGGCGAGUAGUCUCUGUGCCGUAGCUAACGCGAUAAGCAUCCCGCCUGGGGAGUACGGCCGCAAGGUUAAAACUCAAACGAAUUGACGGGGACCCGCACAAGCAGCGGAGCGUGUGGUUUAAUUCGAUUCUACACGAAGAACCUUACCUGGGUUUGACAUGGAGGUGGUAGGGAAGCGAAAGCGGACCGACCCUUCGGGGAGCCUUCACAGGUGCUGCAUGGCUGUCGUCAGCUCGUGCCGUGAGGUGUCGGGUUAAGUCCCGUAACGAGCGCAACCCUUACCCUUAGUUACAAGUGUCUAGGGGGGCUGCCGGCGGGAAGCCGGAGGAAGGUGGGGAUGACGUCAAGUCAGCAUGGCCCUUAUGUCCAGGGCUACACACACGCUACAAUGGUCGGUACAACGGGCAGCCGAGCCGUGAGGUGGAGCGAAUCCCGACAAAGCCGAUCGUAGUUCGGAUAGCAGGCUGCAACUCGCCUGCUUGAAGCUGGAGUUGCUAGUAACCGCGCGUCAGCUAUAGUGCGGUGAAUACGUUCCCGGGUCUUGUACACACCGCCCGUCACGUCAUGGGAGUUGGUAACGCCUGAAGCCGGUGGUCUAGCUGGAAACAGGGGAUACUGUCGAGGGUGGGACUAGCGACUGGGACGAAGUCGUAACAAGGUA
rnacentral:rRNA from 1 species